GCCCUCGUAGUUCAACGGAUAGAAUAGGAGCUUGCGGAGCUUCUGAUCGAGGUUCGAUUCCUCGCGAGGGCA
rnacentral:tRNA from 4 species